GUCGACCUCGGAUCGGGUAGGGAUACCCGCUAAACUUAAGCAUAUCAGUCAGCGGAGGAAAAGAAAGCAACUGCGAUUGCCCCAGUAACGGCGAGUGAAGCGGCAGCAGCCCAGAUUUGGAAUCUGGUCCCCUAGCGGGGCCCGAGUUGUAAUCUGCAGAGGAAGCGUCUGGCGCGGCGCCGGCCUAGUUCCCUGGAACGGGACGCCGUAGAGGGUGACAGCCCCGUGCGGUCGGCCGCCAAGCCUGUGUGUCGCUCCUUCGAGGAGUCGCGUAGUUUGGGAAUGCUGCGCAAAGCGGGAGGUAUGCUCCUCCUAAGGCUAAAUACCGGCCAGAGACCGAUAGCGCACAAGUAGAGUGAUCGAAAGAUGAAAAGCACCUUGAAAAUGGGGUCAAAUAGUACGUGAAAUUGCCAAAGGGGAAGCGCUCGUGGCCAGACUCGCGCCCGGCGGAUCAUCCGGCUUUCUCGCCGGUGCACUCCGCCGGGCUCGGGCCAGCGUCGGUCGGCGCCGGUGCUAAAAGGCGGCGCGAACGUGGCUCCCUCCGGGGAGUGUUAUAGCGCGCCGCGUAAUGUGCUGGUGCCGUCCGAGGACCGCGCUUUUGCAAGGACGCUGGCGUAAUGGCCACUAG
rnacentral:rRNA from 1 species